rnacentral:snRNA from 1 species
GGAUGUAAGGGUGAUCUGGCUGCAACAUCUGUCAUCCCACUGAUCACCAGGGUUGAUUUGACUGGCCUGGCUGGCUAGGUGGGUGUCCCCUUCAUCUCUCACUGCUCCUUGUGCAUCCCCCCCAAGCUGCAAGCUACAUACAGCUUCAAGGAAGAAGGACAACCCCAUAGGACAGUUUCCUAGGUCAAGGGUAUAUAAGUAGCUGCACUCCCAUUAAAACCUACAAACUCUUAAGGCCCAAAACAUAAGCAAAGAUGGAGACACUGUCACAGUCCAGAGGAAACUAACUAAAUAUGAUGACUAAAUGCAAUGUGGUGUAGUAAAUU